AGCCUGUCCUGUUUGUUGUGCUCUGGCUGA
rnacentral:piRNA from 1 species